CGGGGUGUAGCUCAGACGGCAGAGCGCGAAUACGAGGGGUUUGUCAAAAUCCUUAACCGCAACUUUUAAUCGCCAGAUAAGCGCGAGGUCGCAGGUUCGAGUCCUGCCACCCCGACCA
rnacentral:tRNA from 1 species